UACGUAGGGUGCGAGCGUUGUCCGGAAUUAUUGGGCGUAAAGAGCACGUAGGCGGCUUUGUAAGUCGGAUGUGAAAUCCCUCGGCUUAACCAAGGAAGUGCAUCCGAAACUACAGAGCUUGAGUACUUAAGAGGAUCGCGGAAUUCCCGGUGUAGAGGUGAAAUUCGUAGAUAUCGGGAGGAACACCAGUGGCGAAGGCGGCGAUCUGGGAAGAUACUGACACUGAGGCGCGAAAGCGUGGGGAGCAAACAGG
rnacentral:rRNA from 1 species